rnacentral:rRNA from 2 species
UGAGACUAUAAGUCUCCUGAAGGAACGUUGAAGACGACGACGUUGAUAGGCCGGGUGUGUAAGCGCAGCGAUGCGUUGAGCUAACCGGUACUAAUGAACCGUGAGGCUUAACCUUACAACGCCGAAG